GUCUGCGGCCAUAUCACCCUGAAUGUGCCCAAUCUCGUCUGAUCUUGGAAUCUAAGCAGGGUCAGGCCUGGUUAGUACUUGGAUGGAAGACCAUGUGGGAAUAUCGGGUGCCGUAGGCU
rnacentral:rRNA from 1 species